UACGGGGGGGGCAAGCGUUGUUCGGAAUUACUGGGCGUAAAGGGCUCGUAGGUGGCCAACUAAGUCAGACGUGAAAUCCCUCGGCUUAACCGGGGGAACUGCGUCUGAUACUGGAUGGCUUGAGUUCGGGAGAGGGAUGGCGGAAUUCCAGGUGUAGCGGUGAAAUGCGUAGAUAUCUGGAGGAACGCCGGUGGCGAAGGCGGCAUCCUGGACCGACACUGACGCUGAGGAGCGAAAGCCAGGGGAGCAAAGCGGGG
rnacentral:rRNA from 1 species